rnacentral:rRNA from 1 species
AUUGAACGCUGGCGGCAGGCCUAACACAUGCAAGUCGAGCGGGGUUUUCGGACCUAGCGGCGGACGGGUGAGUAAUGCGUAGGAAGCUACCCGAUAGAGGGGGAUACCAGUUGGAAACGACUGUUAAUACCGCAUAAUGUCUACGGACCAAAGUGUGGGACCUUCGGGCCACAUGCUAUCGGAUGUGCCUACGUGGGAUUAGCUAGUUGGUGAGGUAAUAGCUCAACAAGGCGACGACCGCUAGCUGGUUUGAGAGGAUGAUCAGCCACACUGGAACUGAGACACGGGCCAGACUCCGACGGGAGGCAGCAGUGGUGAAUAUUGGACAAGGGGCGCAAGCCUGAUCCAGCCAUGCCGCGUGUGUGAAGAAGGCCUUCGGGUUGUAAAGCACUUUCAGUAAGGAGGAAGCGUUGAGUGUUAAUAGUACUCAGCGUUGACGUUACUUACAGAAGAAGCACCGGCUAACUCUGUGCCAGCAGCCGCCGUAAAAC